CGCUGGCGGCGUGCCUAACACAUGCAAGUCGAACGAAGCACUUAGACAGAACCUUCGGGUGACGUAUUGGUGACUGAGUGGCGGACGGGUGAGUAACGCGUGGGUAACCUGCCCUGUACAGGGGGAUAACAGUUAGAAAUGACUGCUAAUACCGCAUAAGCGCACGAUGGUAGCAUUACCAGGUGUGAAAAACUCCGGUGGUACAGGAUGGGCCCGCGUCUGAUUAGCUAGUUGCGGGUAAGAGCCCACCAAGGCGACGAUCAGUAGCCGGUCUGAGAGGAUGAACGGCCACAUUGGAACUGAGACACGGUCCAAACUCCUACGGGAGGCAGCAGUGGGGAAUAUUGCACAAUGGGGGGAACCCUGAUGCAGCCAACGCCGCGUGAGUGACGAAGUAUUUCGGUAUGUAAAGCUCUAUCAGCAGGGAAGAUAAUGACGGUACCUGACUAAGAAGCUCCGGCUAAAUACGUGCCAGCCGCGGC
rnacentral:rRNA from 1 species